UCAAUAAGCGGAGGAAAAGAAACCAACAGGGAUUGCCUUAGUAACGGCGAGUGAAGCGGCAACAGCUCAAAUUUGAAAUCUGGCCCUCGGGUCCGAAUUGUAAUUUGUAGAGGAUGAUUUUGGUGCGGUAUCUUCCGAGUUCCUUGGAACAGGACGCCUUAGAGGGUGAGAGCCCCGUACGGUUGAAUGCCUAGCCUCUGUAAAUCUCCUUCGACGAGUCGAGUAGUUUGGGAAUGCUGCUCUAAAUGGGAGGUAAAUUUCUUCUAAAGCUAAAUAUUGGCCAGAGACCGAUAGCGCACAAGUAGAGUGAUCGAAAGAUGAAAAGCACUUUGAAAAGAGGGUUAAAUAGCACGUGAAAUUGUUGAAAGGGAAGGAUUUGUGACCAGACUUUUUCUGGGCGGAUCAUCCGGGGUUCUCUCCGGUGCACUUUGCCCAGUAAAGGCCAGCAUCGAUUUUCGGCGGCGGAUAAAAGCAGUGGGAAUGUGGCUCCCUACGGGGAGUGUUAUAGCCCAUUGUAUAAUACGCUGCUGGGGAUCGAGGUACGCGCUUCUGCAAGGAUGCUGGCGUAAUGGUUAUCAAUCACCCGUCUUGAAACACGGACCAAGGAGUCGAACAUUUAUGCGAGUGUUUGGGUGUUAAACCCUCACGCGUAAUGAAAGUGAACGGAGGUGAGAGCCCGUACGGGUGCAUCAUCGACCGAUCCUGAAGUUUUCGGAUGGAUUUGAGUAAGAGCAUAACUGUUCGGACCCGAAAGAUGGUGAACUAUGCGUGGAUAGGGUGAAGCCAGAGGAAACUCUGGUGGAGGCUCGCAGCGGUUCUGACGUGCAAAUCGAUCGUCAAAUCUGCGCAUGGGGGCGAAAGACUAAUCGAACCAUCUAGUAGCUGGUU
rnacentral:rRNA from 1 species